ACACACACACACACACACACCAUAAAUACCUGCGUACAGAUGUGUAUUCCUAGCUAACGUGAUAUUCUGUGUGUUCAGGUGUGUGGAAAGUAUUUACAGCGAGUCUGCAGCUGCAGUGUGACAAGAAGCAGAUCACGGCUCCCCUCGGGUCAGACUUCCUGCUCUCCUGCAGCUAUAAGAACCAGCUGCUCAGCAACAAGUACUGGUGCCGAGGAGAGUCUAGGAGGACCUGCGAGGUGCUGGUGGACUCGGAGGGGAAGACCAGAAGCACCCGGGUUCACAUCGUGGAUGCUCGGAGUAGAGGACUGUUUGUGAGGGUCUUAGAUCUGCAGAAGGGGGACAGCGGGGUCUACUGGGUCGGGAUCGACAGGCCUUAUACUGCAGGUGGAGAGGGUUCAAUAUUUAACUAACAGGUAUCACCAUGAAACCCCCGUGCCCGGUGUGCCAGUCAGCAGACGCUGAGUUUUGCCUCUUUGUUUUGAAUAUUGUAAAGGCCUCUUUUCUUUGUUGCUUGUGUAAAAGUUUGUUAUUUUAUUUUGUUCAAACACAUCGCAACAUCAUCCAAACCAUCGGAGGCCGAGUAACUCUUCACACCCCGAGUCCCGGUCUCUAAGCCCCGCCUCCAGACCCUGGUCUCCCUGAUGGAGGGCUCCACCUGUCGGGGGGGGUCCGGUGACGGUGAGAUGUGUGUGUUCACGGGGGACCGCGGUCCGUUACUCCUGGUUCCGACACACACACCCCGAGAACGUCCUGCUGCAGAACUCUGCUGACCUGCAGCUCACCUGUGACUCUCUGCGGCUCACCUGUGGCUCUCUGCGGCUCACCUGUGGCUCUCUGCGGCUCACCUGUGACUCUCUGCGGCUCACCUGUGACUCUCUGCGGCUCACCUGUGGCUCUCUGCGGCUCACCUGUGACUCUCUGCAGCUCACCUGUGACUCUCACCUGUGACUCUGCAGCUCACCUGAGCCUCAGAGUGAACAUCCUCCCUCCUGCAGACUCACACUGCAGAUAUGUGGUUCACCUGCAAGGUAACGACUCUGAUUCAUAUAAAUAUCAGAUAUAAUACCUGAUGAAAGAACUGCUGUUCCUACGAUGUGUUUAUAAUAAACGCACCUUUCAAAAUGAAUCACAGCGAGUAAUAAGACAUGCUUCAGAUCGUGGUACAUAACUGUUUAGCAGCAGCACCUUUCAAAUGACUUUGGUUUGAUCUUUAUCUAGCGCUGCAUUGUGUCGGCUUUGCCUUCAGUGACUGUGUUUGAAAGCACACACACCAGGAUGUAUUUGGGUGUGUGCGCUGCAUACAUAAACACAGUGAGAGACAUUCAUUAAAUACAUGUUUCUAACUAAACUUAACACAAGAAGGCAAUUUGUGUUUGAUGGACGAUUUUUAUGUUGUAACAAUGCUUGUUGGCAUUGCUGUGUUUGGUUCUUCCACACGCUACUGAGGCUGCUUGCUAAAUGAAUCAAUUGUUAAUAAAUGUUGAAAAUGU